ensembl:lncRNA
CCCCCCCCCCGGAGUUCGGUUCUGUCCGUUUCUACAUUCUGCUCCACAUCUGUUUAAUACGUCUUUGUUCAACGGGGGUUCUGCCCCCUACUGGUUAACUUUAAUGCGCUUGGUACUUUUUUAUUCCAUCAACUUAUGUGCAGAUCAAUCAAUCCCAAUUUUCUUGAGACCCAAUAUUGUCUUCAAAAUUAAAUUUACAUAGAAGUGACAUUAUGUCAUUUUUAGAAGUAAGUUUCUGAAACAAUAAAAUGAAAUUUAAAACGUUAAGAAGCCGGUUUGAAGUUUUGCGUCCCACCUAAAGAUCUGCCGCGGGUCACAAGGGCACAAUGUGGAGCUUGGACCGUGUAAAGGCUCCGUAUCCUGUUCCCUUCGUUUCAUACUGGUAUUUGGGCUUUCUACGUGCUUUCCUGGAGCACAUGUCUUUCCCGGAAUCAAACUCUCUCAGUGAAGAUCUCCUCUGAGGAGCCUUUUUACGAGCUCCUCUGCUGCGGUUUCAGUUAUUGUUACCUGCUGUAGUACAGCGUGCCACUAAUACCGGGAAACCGCUAAUCCACUUGGACAAAUUGGGCCCAUUGUUGGGCUGCAGGCUGCCAACUCUCUGCUUGCUGGUUUUAAUGGUUGCUGGCAGAAGAUCGGGAACAUUUGGCCGUUUUUGCAAGACAGAGAAGGUGGAAAACAACGUUUUUAUGUUCCAGUAAACACCUCCUCUACUUUGCCUGUUGUUUUAUUGGCUUGGCAUUAUUAACAGUUGUAUCACUAUUAGUGUGACCUGUGUGUCUGAUGAGGUUAAUUAGUCCCAUGUCUCUAAGAAGCCCCCCCCCCGGGUGUCAUUUUUAACUCAUCCAUGUUUUUCCAGUCUCUCUCCUCCUCAGCCUCGUUUUCUCAAAGUCUUUUCCCAUCAUUCGUCUUCGCUCUCUAACGAAGCCCAGCCUGUUUUCUUCGUCCCUUUUUUCCAGCCUCUCUUUUGCUCCUCCAUCAGUCUGGAGGAUUUUCUUUGGACAGCCUCCGUGCGGGACAACAUUAGUCUGUUGUGCAGCUUCCAUCACCUUCCAUCUCGGUUGCCUUCGCCGUGCACCUCUUAAGGUUUCUUCGUGUUAUUCCCCUUCGCAUCACUAAUCUUAGUGUCUGCUUCUUGACGUUACCUCUCCCCCCCCCCCCCCCCACUAACCCCAUUCUGACCCCUCUCUCCCUCCCACUACGUCUCCAUGUCAGCUCUCAUCUGUCCUUUCUCAGCCUUCCCUUAAUCCGUCUCCUCUGGGCCGUUCUACAUGCUGGGAAAUUGCUUUUUUUUGUGUGCUUAAGCCCUCAAACACAUUUACUCACUAUUACAAAAACAUUUGUAUGAGCUUCCAGAAAUGUUUCACUGCUGCCAAUUCAUUAAGUGCCUCUUUUUUAAUGUUGUGACGCUUUGUGUACUUGAAUAUGCAUGAAGCGCACUCAGCUUAAGUUACAACCUUCAAUUAGGUCAUUUUCUCUAAAAACGUUAAGCAACAUUGAAUCUGUGGCGACAACAACCUCAACGAGUGGUAAACAGAACUGAACUUUUAAGUCAUGAAAAUAUUUCAGUCAUUUAAUCCUGAUUUCACCCACAUAAGUAAAUGAAACCCUCGGUCGGGCUGAUUCUGGUUAGUUCUUAUUGCUCGUCUACGUGGGGGCGAGUCGGACGGAGCCGUGCCGGUUUCCCAUAAACCAGCCCGCUCGAAAAUGUCUGCAGGAGAACGUCCUCCACGCGCGUCUUCGCCAAGGAGCAGACGGCGGAGAAGAACAAGGCGUAGCACCGCCUCCGAGUUCAGGCCCGGCGCGCUUCGCCCUGCGGCUCGGCCUAACGCCUGCGAGGUCGGCUCGGGUUAAAAGUGACUCAAAGUGCUGAAGUUAAUGUGCUCAGCAAUUAGUGUCAAGCGGUGUGUGUGUGUGUGUGUGUGUGUGUGUGUGUGUGUGUGUGGGAGAAGAGCAGGGGAAAGUGUGCUAACAAGGAACAAUAAGAGAAAAGCUUUGAAUGCAAGGAAACACACUUUCACGCAAUGUUGAGUUUAGAGAAAAAGGUUUUAAGAGGAAACUCAACCAUGUACGUAAAAAUCGAGUGUCCUUUGGCCUUUUCAUGUAGAUUUAGUUACACAAAGAGUAGAAUGAGGAACCAGCACAUUACCACAGAAGUCAGAUAAUAUCGCGCCUGAAACAACAAGAAGGUGGAAAUGAUAAUCACGGUCGGGUGUGACUGCUGCCCCUUCAACCCGCAGCGCUCAGCAGGGAGGUUUCCUCUCAACAUCAAAAGCAAGCGAGCACAAUCGGCUGAAAGGGAAUCCAGGGAGAGCGACGGCGGAGCCCUUUGGAGACAUUUGAGACUGUUGUCUUUAGAAGCUCCCGAGUCACUCAGGCCGCAGCCGUGGAUCCCACCCGAGAUCGCCCAGCUUUCGCUGCGAAGAAAAUAAAGCACAAAAAGCACUCGUGCAGCACGAGACCUUCCGUGCACAUUCGUCACAGUUAUUCCCCGUGAAAGCAGGCGCGAGCUAUUGGCACAGCAAAGUAAGAAACACUUCAGACGAAGAGGAAGGCCAGAUUUGAACCGUUGCACGUUUAAAUUGUGGCCCGCUAACGAAAACAAAGCCCCCGGCGGUUCACAGAUUGUACUCAUCACCGCGCUGUGCGCUCCACCCGGGGAACGUCGGGAGUCCUAUUUGCAUAACGGAAGCCGGUUGUGUUGAGUGGACACUUCACAUCCCAACCACGAAUGAAAAGGACGCCGCAGCGAGAUGUGCCGAGCAAUCGCCCAGAUGUGUCAGCCGUCCACCUCUGUGGUGAUGGAACCUGGACUCGGUUCAGCCGGAGCGCUCAGCUCAUCUUUCAGGCGGAUGGCGUUCCUUCAGCACUCGGUACCGCGGGGGGGGGGGGGGG